rnacentral:rRNA from 1 species
UGGGGAAUCUUGGACAAUGGGGGCAACCCUGAUCCAGCCAUGCCGCGUGAGUGAUGAAGGCCUUAGGGUCGUAAAGCUCUUUCGCCUGUGAAGAUAAUGACGGUAGCAGGUAAAGAAACCCCGGCUAACUCCGUGCCAGCAGCCGCGGUAAUACGGAGGGGGUUAGCGUUGUUCGGAAUUACUGGGCGUAAAGCGCACGUAGGCGGACCAGAAAGUUGGGGGUGAAAUCCCGGGGGCUCAACCCCGGAACUGCCUCCAAAACUAUUGGUCUAGAGUUCGAGAGAGGUGAGUGGAAUUCCAAGUGUAGAGGUGAAAUUCGUAGAUAUUUGGAGGAACACCAGUGGCGAAGGCGGCUCACUGGCUCGAUACUGACGCUGAGGUGCGAAAGUGUGGGGAGCAAACAGGAUUAGAUACCCUGGGUAGUCCCACACCGUAAAACGAUGAAUGCCAGUCGUCGGGUAGCAUGCUAUUCGGGUGACACACCUAACGGAUUAAGCAUUCCGCCUGGGGAGUACGGUCG